UGUGUAUCAAUGUAAAAGAGAGACAGAAACCAGAAGUGUAAAUCACUUUGUGAAGUUUUUAAGACUUGAGUCCAGUAGUUCACAUCACUUUUCAGGGUGUGUUUUUGUCUGUGUGUUUGUGUGUGUGUGUGAGAGCGGGAGAGAUAGAAAGAAAAUGAGGGCUGUGUUUGCGAUGCUAAAUGUGUGUGUGUGUCUUCUUCUGUGUGUUCCUGGUGCCAUCUCGCAGACUACAACAGCACCAAACACGUACACGGAGUGCACAGAUGGCUAUGAAUGGGAUGCUCAGACUCAGCAUUGUAAAGAUAUAAAUGAGUGUGAGCGGAUCCCAGUGGCGUGUCAGGGUGAGAUGAAGUGUUUUAACCACUACGGCGGAUACCUCUGCCUCCCACGCUCCGCCUCUGUCAUCACCGCCCCUGAGGCCGGCAGCCAAUCACAACCCAGCGUGCCCAUCGAGGCCAACGAGGCCUUCAACCCCUGUCCUGUGGGCUACGAGCCUCAAGGGGACAACUGUGUCGAUGUGGAUGAGUGUGCGGUGGGUCUCCAUGACUGUCAGCCCAGCCAGCAGUGUGUUAAUGUGGCGGGCACCUUCAGCUGCCAGUGUCCCGACGGAUACAGCAAGAUUGGAGUGGAAUGUGUGGAUAUAGAUGAGUGUAGGUAUCGCUAUUGUCAGCACCGCUGUGUGAACGUUCCUGGCUCCUUCACCUGCGAGUGUGAACCGGGUUUCCAACUGGCGUCCAACAACCGCUCCUGUGUUGAUGUGAAUGAGUGUGAUAUGGGAGCUCCGUGUCAGCAGCGUUGCUAUAACACCUAUGGAACGUUCCUGUGUCGCUGUGACCAGGGCUACGACCUGGGGCCCGACGGAUACUCAUGUAACGACAUUGAUGAGUGCAGCUACUCCAGUUACCUGUGCCAGUUCCAGUGUGUUAACGAGCCGGGACGCUUCUCCUGCCAGUGCCCAGAGGGGUACGACAUCCUGGGCACACGCCUCUGCCAAGACAUUAAUGAGUGCGACUCUGGGUCACACCAGUGUGUGGAGGGCCAGUUGUGUGUGAACAUCCACGGAGGCUACAGGUGUGUGGACCACAACCGCUGCCUGGAGCCCUAUGUGCAGGUGUCUGAAAGUCGGUGUGUGUGUCCCUCUACGAAGCCGGAAUGUCGCGAUCUCCCGUUCUCCAUCGUGCAGCGCUACAUGAGCAUCACGUCGGAGCGCUCGGUCCCGUCGGACAUCUUCCAGAUCCAGGCCACCAGCGUCUACCCGGGCGCCCUCAACACCUUCCGCAUCCGCUCUGGAGACCAGCACGGAGAGUUCUACAUCAGGCAAAUCAACAACAUCAGCGCCAUGCUGGUUCUGGCGCGGGCCGUCACUGGACCCAGAGAGUUGGUGCUGGACCUGGAGAUGGUGUCCCUCAACCCACUACUGAGCUACCAGACCAGCUCAUCCCUACACCUCUUCAUCUACGUGGGGCCCUACGCUUUCUGAGCACUCACGGAGAGAGGAGGAGGAGGAGGAGGAGGAGAGAGAAGAGAGGAGAAGAAGAGAAGCCAGAGGAUAGAGGAGGAGGAGGAGAGAGAGGAGGAUUGGUGGAAAGAGGAGGAGGAGGAGAAAAACCAGAGGAGGAGGAGGAGAGAGAAGAAAAGAGGAGGAUAGAGGAGGAAGAGGAGGAGGUAGAGAAGUCUCUAAACAUUAGUAGCCAAAGUAGGCCUGUUUUGUAAAUGUACAAAAUCUUUUAACAAUAGCUAAGAGUUUAACACAACCUCCUCUUCAAGAUUAGAAUAAUCCAGAAUUGCUAAAGACUAAUACUGUACAUCCCAAUUAGUGUAAUCCAGAGUUGAUGGGGAUUCAUGUGUAAUAAUCCCAAUGUCUUUAGAAAUCAGUUAUUCAACCUCCCCUCUUCAUGAAGAACACAGUCACACACACACACACACACACACACACACAGAAAGAUGCGCGUGCACACACUCACACACAUACACAGACACAUGCAUGCAUACACACAUGCACACACACAUACUGUACACAUACACACGCACACACACACAUGCACAUGCACGUACAUACACACACACACACACACACACACACACACACACACACACAAACACACACAUGCACAUGCACAUGCACAUGCACGCGCAUACACAGACACAUGCAUGCAUACACAUGCACACACUCACACACAAACACACACUGGGAUGUAUAGAAUGCUGUCUGUCUAUGUGUGUGCAUAGCUGCUUGAUUGGAUUAGGAGGACAGAGGAGUCUGGUUUACGAAUAAGACUAUUCAAUGAAACAAGUCAAUAAGGUGCUGUGUGUGCAUGUGUGUGUGUGUGUGUGUGUGUGUAUGUGUGUGUGUGUGCGUAGUCAAUGAAUGAAACAAGUCAAUAAAGUGCUCAAAUGUUCACACAUCCACUCAUCAACACAAGCUAGGACAGUGUGUACCCAGGCUGGUGUGUUGGGCUCUAUUAAAAGCUGCUGCUGUGUGUGUGUGUGUGUGUGUGUGUGUGUGUGUGUGUAGGCAGAAGCUGUGAAAUCAUGAUCAUCACACGUGAUGAGCACUAGUAAUUUUACUCUGUCCUUCUCACCUCUAAGUAACAGGAACACAUUAACACACACACACACACACACACACACACACACACACACACACACAAACACACACACACGCACGCACAUUCUUUCUCUCCAUACACACACACACACACACACACACACACACACAGACACACAAACAUGUACUCUCUCCCACUCACACACACACUCACACAUUCACACAGACUAAAUAACACGCAGUAAUCAGUAGAGUGAGUGAGACUGACACAGAUAGACUCUCCGAGCUUCUCUGCAGAUGGAGAGCUCGUCCUCUUUAUGCAGUGUCACUGUUUCUCUGUUUCAGCACAGUCAUACAUUUCAGCUCUUCUCACUAGAUUAAAGUUAUACCAUGACUCAGUGUUUUUGUCCUGUGGCAUUAUCACUGCCCACUCCAGCCGCGAGCAUCUGCGGUCUGUCUAUUGACCGCUUGUUCCUAGUGUGUGUGUGUGUGUGUGUGUGUGUGUGUGUGUGUGUGUGUGUGUGACCAUCAGACCUUUAGCAGUAGGUCUGCCCAGCCUUGGAACAUCACUAAAGGUCACACACAUCCAGAGAAAGUCCAAUAGAGGCAUACUGACACACACACCAGUGUUUGAAAUGUGUACUGUACUGCCAGACCCAAUAGAGAGGCUGCUCCUAUGCUAUGCUGACUCAUUGACAUUGUAUGAAGCAAUAAAAUGAAAGGUUGAUUGACAUGAAUAAAUGAA